rnacentral:rRNA from 1 species
UUUAAAGAGAGUUUGAUCCUGGCUCAGGACGAACGCUGGCGGCGUGCCUAAUACAUGCAAGUCGAACGAACGGAGGAAGAGCUUGCUCUUCCAAAGUUAGUGGCGGACGGGUGAGUAACACGUGGGCAACCUGCCUGUAAGUUGGGGAUAACUCCGGGAAACCGGGGCUAAUACCGAAUGAUAAAGUUUGGCGCAUGCCACGCUUUUGAAAGAUGGUUUCGGCUAUCGCUUACAGAUGGGCCCGCGGUGCAUUAGCUAGUUGGUAGGGUAAUGGCCUACCAAGGCAACGAUGCAUAGCCGACCUGAGAGGGUGAUCGGCCACACUGGGACUGAGACACGGCCCAGACUC